UACGUAGGGUGCAGGCGUUAAUCGGAAUUACUGGGCGUAAAGCGUGCGCAGGCGGUUCGUUGUGUCGGCGGUGAAAUCCCCGGGCUCAACCUGGGAAUGGCCGUUGAAACUGGCGAACUGGAGUGUGGCAGAGGGGGGGUGGAAUUCCGCGUGUAGCAGUGAAAUGCGUAGAGAUGCGGAGGAACACCGAUGGCGAAGGCAGCCCCCCUGGGCUGACACUGACGCUCAGGCACGAAAGCGUGGGGAGCAAACAGG
rnacentral:rRNA from 1 species